UACAGCUGAGGGCAGAAGUUAUUAUUUUGACCUGCUUUGUUAUCAUUCUGAUUCUUGACCGGUAAAUAAGGUUUCUUUUGUGCAUUUUCUUGUGUGAUAUGGAAGUGGUGAUCUGAAAAGAUUACAAGAGGAAAUGGAGGGGUUGACAGUGAGCAUCAAAAGGCGAACACAGCGUCUGUACAGUCCAACAGAUGGCAACAAGCAGCGCCACUCUUUGCGUGCGUCAUCCAAGGAAUGAGGAAAAGCUGGCUGCUACAGUGGACGAAUACAACAGCAUUGCCGAUCCUUCACAGCACCUUGGUUCAGUUGAUUUUUUAGCUGGCACUGUUGCUUGGGCAUGGCAAAUUCCUGGUUAUACUGAAUCUGUGUCUUUUCUCGCCAAGAGUAAGUUGUUUGACCGAGUGAUGGCAGUAAGUCGACUACAGGAAGAAAAAAAGUCUCAUUUGUAAGGAGAUGCAACAGCACUGGAUGGUCCUGACACAAAAGUCGUCCAAGCUUGACGCACUGAUCAGUGAAAUAAGUUCUAAAAGUGAAAAAGUCUUUACACAUUCGUUAGUUUAUUUUGCUCUAAUAUGUUGACAAAUUUGCACACAAACAACACACUACCUUAUUUCAAUUUCAGAUAAGUCUUGGAUGCUGUUUUUACUAUUUUAGUUCGGCUUACAUUUGUGUAGUGUUAUAAAACUGAAACAGGUAGGGCUUCUCGACCAAUAUUGUUAGCCUUGCUAAUUGCUCUUUAGCAUUGUAUUUUUGAUUAUAUAUACUUCUAUGUUUUCCAGCUGUUAUUUCUACCCUCUCUGACACUGCAUACAAGGGGCUCCUGUGUAUUGUUCGAAAGAAACAACAUUAACUGAAACAUUUAAUGCAGAUUGUUGGGGCUGGCUAUAUUAACAUUUUCAGCGAAGAAGACAUGAUGUCUGAAGAAUCUGAGGUUGAACAGGAAGAGAAAGUACAAAAGGAGAUCUGAGGAAGCAACAGCUGCUCAGAUGAUGACAAAAAUGUUCAGUAAAUAAGUUUAAUAUAUUAAGGCACACUUAACUUCUGUAAAAGGAAAACCAAAAAAUCAUGGUAUAUGAUGCUAGGUGUCGACGUUACACAAUUAUACACAAUAAACUUUUCACAGUUUGUAGCGUUUAAAAAAAAAAAUCUAUGCUGCUUUAUGUAUCCCAUGCAUAGUAUACUAUAUAGACAUUUUUACACAUUAACAUGAUAAAUCACGCUUGUUUUUCA